rnacentral:rRNA from 1 species
UAGAGCAAAUCUCAAAAAAACAAUCUCAGUUCAGACUGCAGGCUGCAACUCGCCUGCACGAAGUCGGAAUUGCUAGUAAUCGUAGGUCAGCAUACUACGGUGAAUACGUUCCCGGGCCUUGUACACACCGCCCGUCAAACCAUGAGAGUUGGCAACACCCAAAGUCGGUAGUCUAACCGCAAGGAGGACGCCGCCGAAGGUGGGGUUGAUGAUUAGGGUUAAGUCGUAACAAGGUAUC